rnacentral:rRNA from 1 species
GAUGAACGCUGGCGGCGUGCCUAAUACAUGCAAGUCGAGCGAACGGACGAGAAGCUCGCUUCGCUGAUGUUAGCGGCGGACGGGGGAGUAACACGUGGAUAACCUACCUAUAAGACUGGGAUAAAUUCGGGAAACCGGAGCUAAUACCGGCUAAUAUUUUGAACCGCAUGGUUCAAAAAUGAAAGACGGUCUUGCUGUCACUUAUAGAUGGAUCCGCGCUGCAUUAGCUAGUUGGUAAGGUAACGGCUUACCAAGGCAACGAUGCAUAGCCGACCUGAGAGGGUGAACGGCCACACUGGAACUGAGACACGGUCCAGACUCCUACGGGAGGCAGCAGUAGGGAAUCUUCCGCAAUGGGCGAAAGCCUGACGGAGCAACGCCGCGUGAGUGAUGAAGGUCUUCGGAUUGUAAAACUCUGUUAUUAGGGAAGAACAAAUGUGUAAGUAACUGUGCAUACCAUGACGGUACCUAAUCAGAAAGCCACGGCUAACUACGUG